rnacentral:lncRNA from 1 species
GCCCCACAGGCCUCCAGGAGCUCCAGGCCCUGUGGCCAGGCAGGCAGAGCCAGCUGUGGGCAGCAAGAGCAGUGACCUCCCAGGCCACACAGGGUCCAGGUUGGGGGUGAUGUCGCCUGGCCACCCGACCCAGCCCUGCUUGCCCUCAGCAGUCAUGGUGGGGAGAUGCUCAUAUGGGACCCUUGGUGGCUACCAGGCAUCCGCACUGCACCACAGAAAGGGGCGCUCCAGGCUGCAGCCGUCCAGCAUCACCACCGCCAGCACUGCCAGCCUCUUGCUUCCGGGGUUGUUUUUGCAUCUGUGGCCCCAGCAUGACUCUGGGUCCAGGCCCAGGCAUCCUCAUCCCAGCUGAGGGUGUGCUCUGAGGCCGGGCAGCUGCCUCCUCAGACCUCUGAGCCUCCCACAAAGAGCCGAUGGUCCUCCUGGUGCUGAGCACCUCCCCACCACGCAGACCUGUGGUCGCAGCCACAGAGGAUGCACGGUGCCCUUCGGUGAGCAGCGGGACACAGCUGUGCCUGGGGCAGAUGGGCACCUAAGGCCUCCUGCCCCAGGCAGGCCCCAAUCCCAGGGAGCCGAGGAAGGGUGCUGCUGGCACAGGGGUUCCCAGCUGUGUAGGCCCAGCAGGUCCUGAGACCCUGCUCUGCAGACCCUGAAGCCCCACCCAGGCUGGGGCAGAAGCAGGGGGGAGCAGAGAGCACCGCCCCCCAUCACCAGGUGCCAGUAUGCGGGAGCUGCCCCUUGGGUCUCCAGGGGGCUCCCUGGGCCCUCCCUGGGCCCCCAGAACCCCUGGGCAUGGAAAGGCGCCUAGACCCUGGGGCUAUGGUCUGGGGUACAGGAGGGGUCUGAGUCAGGCAGGGCCAGCCUGUGACGUCUGACCCCAUCUCACUGCUCCUCAGCUCCAGCCUGGGGGGCUGGGGGCACCUGUGGCCCUGGCAGUGACGUUCCUGUUACCUGUGGCCCACCCAGAGGCCCGAAUCUGCGUUAGUUGCCCACAACCAUAAAGGACAAAAGGAAAACGGGCUGGACAAGAUGGUACACGCCUUUAAUCCCAGCGCUUGGCUGAGGCAGGAGGGUCAUAGAGAGUUGGAGACCAGUCUGAGCUACACAGCAAGUCACUGUCUGUGGAGAAGGACAUUCUAUAGUUCACCUUUCAAUGUAUUACCUAUUUGGGACCUCGGGCCUGACCAAGCCAUAUGCUUGUGUGAUUCUGGAGGAAGUCUAGCAGAAGCACUGGUGUAAAAGGAAAUGAUAGCGGGACCCGUGUCCCUGCGGAAAGCUGCGGGACAGCACUCGAUGCCUUGCUGAGAUGUGCCCGCGGGAAUGACAGCACGACGGCUAGCUCAGUCGGGUCUCAUUCCUGUGAUAAGAUGUAUUGCCCUCGCUAACCCUGUUUGUGAUUCCUCCCAUUUGCCCCGUUGCUGCUUUUUGUGAGAAUCCCAAUAAAAGGCUGAAGUAGACCGUAAUGGAGGCUUCAGUGCUGGAGGCUUCAGCCCCCUGAUCCCACA